rnacentral:rRNA from 1 species
GGGUUGUGAGGUUAAGCGACUAAGCGUACACGGUGGAUGCCCUGGCAGUCAGAGGCGAUGAAGGACGUGCUAAUCUGCGAAAAGCGUCGGUAAGGUGAUAUGAACCGUUAUAACCGGCGAUGUCCGAAUGGGGAAACCCAGUGUGAUUCGUCACACUAUCGUUAACUGAAUACAUAGGUUAAC